CUAAAAUUAAUAACAUAAAACUUAUCAAUUUGUUUUGUAUCUUAGUUUAUUGAGGAUAAGCUCAAUAAAAAUAAUAAAAUAGUAUACACCCCAUAUAGCUAGCUACAUGGGCUUGAAAUUAGCCAUUGCAUUGAAGUUUGUUACAAAAUAGUCUUUAUAUACAUAAAGAUUGAUAUACUUUUUUUACAGGGGUAACAGGAAAAAUCAUGGCAUCUUGAUUCACUUAUGCUAGGAUGAGUAUUGAUGUAUAAGAUAUAUAAACAAAAAUAGAAAGAUAUAUAAGAUAACUUUACUUAAAACAAAAUAAGAAUAAGGAAUUCAGCAACGCUUAGCUCCGCCUGUUUAUCAAAAACAUGGCUCUUUGUUAACCAAAUAUAAAGAGUCAGACCUGCCCAGUGAAGUUUUAACGGCCGCGGUACUCUGACCGUGCAAAGGUAGCAUAAUCAUUUGCCUUAUAAUUGAAGGCUUGUAUGAAUGGUUUGACGGGAGCAUUACUGUCUUUUUCUUACCCUAUAGAAUUUGACCUUUGGGUGAAGAGGCCCAGAUACAGUUGAAAGACAAAAAGACCCUGUCGAGCUUAAAAAGGAAUCAGAAUAAUUUUAUUAUCCAAGAUUAAUUACUGACUAAUUUUUUUGGUUGGGGCGACCAAGGAACAAAAAAAGCUUCCUCUAUCUUCUUAGCUAAUAAGCAUAGAUCCAGAAAAAGCUGAUUAAAAGAAAUAGUUACCGCAGGGAUAACAGCAUAAUCUCUCUUGAGAGACCUAAUCGAAAGAGGGGGUUGUGACCUCGAUGUUGGACUAGAAUAUCCCAAAGAUGCAGAAGUCU
rnacentral:rRNA from 4 species